rnacentral:tRNA from 1 species
GUGCCUGUAGCUCAGCUGGAUAGAGCGUUUGGCUACGAACCAAAAGGUCGGAGGUUCGAAUCCUCCCAGGCACG